rnacentral:lncRNA from 13 species
AUGAGCAAGUCAAUGUGUGGCUGUGGCUGCAGCUUCAUCUCCUCUCUGAUGAAGAGGCUGGGCCGCACAGCCUGUUGCUCAGACCUCCUCUCCUGCAGCCAUACCUCCGAGCAGCUGCAGCGCCUGGCCACCGGCUGCCCACCGCCCCCCAAGAAUGCCAAGCCCUUCUCCUCCUCAGACAGCCUAGUGAAGGUCCAGGAGGUAGCAAGCUGGCUUUUGGAAAUGAACCAGGAUCUGCUGUCGGGGGGCAGCAGGCGGGGCCUGGGGGGCCGGCGAGGGGGCCCGGGGGCCCAGCGAGGUAACGCCUCCUCCUCGGCCCGGACGCCCCAGGGCCAGCAGCCUGGAGAGGAGGCCGACGAGGAGGAGCACAUGAACCGGGUGGUGGAGGACCAAGAACACCAGCAGUCCAGAGUCCAGCCUGCGGCCUCGGCAGGGGGGGAAGGAGUGGAAGAACCGUGGACCUCCAGGGAGAAUGGACCCCAGGGAGACGGGGAGGAGGAGGAUGGAGGAGGAGUACCCAACGAGGUGAACGGAGGAGUGACUAAGGGCGGCCGGUGGAUGUGGGAGGCGGAGCGACGGCAACAGGGGGGGGAUGACGACGAGGAGGAGGAAGAGGAGAACAACAACAGUGGCAGCCAGCAGGGAGAGGAGGAGGAGGAAAGGACAGAGGGAGGAGAGCGAACGGGGAGGGAUGAGGAGGACGAGGAGGAGAUGGACCAGGACAGUGAUGACUUUGAGCAUUCGGAGGAGAGUGGGAGGGAGGAGGAAGAGGAGGAGGAGGGCGAGGAUGGCCUCCACUCACCCUCCCUCAGGAGUGAUGUGUCUGUCCCCAACAACAACCUGGACCAGUCCUCGGGAUGCCAACACCAAAGCUCACCCAUCAAGAAGAAGGUAAGAUCUGACCAGUGUUCAUGUUUCACAGUAUACCAGAACUUACUAGAUACUAGAACCUUCAAAAACGGUUCUCUACUAGAAUUGUUACUUUCGUUCUUCUGUCAAAUGUCUCACGCCGUCUUCUGAUUUGAGAGAGGAUCAAGUCUGUAUCAGCGCAGCCGACAUCGCCUUAUCGUACCUAGUCCGCUUCCUCAUUGCUAGCUCUAGCCUGGCCUGAGGAACCAGUGCACUCCCUGGGAGUCUGGGCUGCAUCACGUUAGCUCCCCACUCAUACUGGUUCUAGCCUGGCCUGAGGAACCAGUGCACUCCCUGGGAGUCUGGGCUGCAUCACGUUAGCUCCCCACUCAUACUGGUUCUAGCCUGGCCUGAGGAACCAGUACACUCCCUGGGAGUCUGGGCUGCAUCACGUUAGCUCCCCACUCAUACUGGUUCUAGCCUGGCCUGAGGAACCAGUACACUCCCUGGGAAUCUGGGCUGCAUCACCACUUAUGCUGAACAGAAGUUAACGCCCGUGAAUAUUGCAAAAUGGCAACAAUGUCCAUUACAGGCUACAACAAGAAGAUACUGGUAGCUUCCAGCUUUGUAAGCUAAGUUUCCUUGCUAGCUUGUUGGCGAUAAUAUGCAAACCAUAACACAUACUACUGCUGAUUUCAAAGCUGAUUGUCUCCAAAAAAUGUAUUCAUUCAUGUAAUCUCCCUCGCCUCGUGUCUCUUCCAGUCAAUAUUGUCUUUGCUGGAGCCACAAACUGAGUGUGAAUGACAUCAUGGGCCUUAAAGAGACAACGCACACAUUUUAUCAAAUAUUUUUCUUCUUCUAUGCAAAUGUUGUUGAUCAGUACAAUAAAAUAAGUCCCGAAUGGAAGGGUAACAGAUUCUUUGUCAUCUGUAGCCCUGUGAAAUCAGCCAAAACAAUAACUCAAUGUGUGCAUAUAUACACCUGUAUACACCUGUAUUGUGAAUAGGCCAAGGCUACAUCUUGAUUUCCCCAAUUUAUCAAUAGAGAUUUACCCUUCAAAUAAAUUAUUACCUUUCUGUUAUGUAGUUAGAUUGGUAGAAACAAAGUCAAAUUGAUUGUAUAAUCCAAAUCUAUGUCAAAUGUAAUGAUAUUGCCUAGUUAAAUAAAGAAAAUAUUGAACUCCUAAAGAUCUGUCUGGAUCAAGUAGCAUUCUGUGAAUGGCUAAUAGGCCUUCUUUUUCCCCUUGGUAUCAUGCUGGUAUCUAGUAUUAUGACACUGAACCUGGUGUCCGUAUCAAAGACACAAUUCUGGUAUUGUGACAUCACUAACCUGUGGUCAGUUUGUGUGUGUCCUAAUGUGAUGGUCUUAAUGUACAUAGAAACAGGUACAGUAUUGUGUGAAUAGGAUCGAAGUAAGUUGUGCUCCUUGCUUUUCCACAUCCCUGAGAAGGUGACGAUAAGCAGCCCAGCUCUGUUUCAAAGCAGACACUUUCAGAAAUGUGCAAAACCUCUAACAGCGUCUAAUAAUCUAGCGGCCCUUGCCUCCAGGCAUGACAUGAGCAAUUGUUGAUACUGAACGUGAUCCACAACUCUCGUUGAGCAGUACAGUAUUGCUGUAUUUCUAAUCCAAUGGCUCCCUCUUGUGUUCAAAGGAAGUUUCUACAUUUUUUAAAUUCAUGGAGUUAAUUUCUUGACUGUUGAAAAUGCCAAUAAAACGGCCUGCGAUUUGGUCUUGAAAUGCUAUUUCACAUACCCUCUACACUCCGCUAGCUGUGCCCCAUUUGUCAUGCUGUAUCUGUGGUCAACUUGCAAUGCUACAGCAAUGCGUUAAUGCCAUAUCAAGCAAUUAUAGCAUAUCGGCCUAUUAAAAACUUCUAAGAGAACAUUUACAGUAGUCUGUAAUGGGUACUAUGAGGUCUACAACCCUCAACUCAACUCUGGACCUCUGAGCCAGUCCCACUGUGUUUUUUUUUUCCUUUUUUCAUUUGUUCCCCUCGAAUCAGACUGAUUUUAGACCUUGGACAUCAGGUGGGUGCAAUGAAUUAUCAGGUAGAACAGAAAACCAGCAGGCUCUGAACCUCCGUACGGUAAGAGUUGAAUACAGCUGAUCUUCAUAGACAGAAUGUCUAGUAAUUCCAUUUCUAUUUCUAUACUCUACAAUGCAUAGGUCAAACAGGGAGAAUGUCAUGUGCUGAUUGACAUAUAGCAGUAGCUGGCAACCUUUCUUGGGUUGCAUGCCUGACCCGUGUCUGUGACAUUCCUUUUUGGUAGAAGCAGCAAAGGUGCUGACUUCAAGAAGCCUUACCUUCUAUUUUGAGGAUCCAUAAGUGAAGAUUGAGUGUCUUGAAGGAUUGUUCUGUCGUUGUUGAGCUUUACUUAUACUCUAAUUUGAUAGCAGGUUAUGGGUCGUCAAAUCAACUGAGGUUGUUGACUCAAAUAAUGUUUCUGAUUGCCAAAAUCCCGACAUAUCUUAAGUCUUACAAUGAGGCCCUUUUAUUUACUUCCCAUAGUCGGAUGAACUCGUGUCAUUUAUGUGUCUGUCCAGUGUGAGGGAAGUUGGCGGUAGUUUUGCGAGCCAAUGCUAAAUAGCGUCAGCGUAAUGACGAAGCCUAUGGGUGGCUACCAGCGUUCUCUGGAGAAGUAGAUCAGGAUAUUGGCAAUGAGGCCCUUACGUAUCCAUUUAAGCAGGCCUGUAGUACUUCAAGUCCAGCUCAGUCAGUUGAGAGACUGGAGCAUUCACCAAGGACCCAGCUCAGUGCUUGGCCGCCCACCUACUCUAGUGUGUCCUCGUCGAACCACAUCUUGCCGUCUGUCUUGGCAACACGAUCGACACAGUGCUGUGUUGGACUGACAGGUCAUCCAUUCCCCGCUGCUCUUCUCAAAUCACCCAGGAAACCCGUGAAGGGAAAUGUAUUCCGCCGCCCUCGGAAUUCACUCUUUAAUUAGUCCGGAGAAAUAAUGAACUGCAGUAAAGUGACACUCGGCCCGCCUGGUAGCCUUGGACCCGGGGUAGCCCUCCGCUACAAGGACAGAGCCUCCCCUGAAAGACGAGGAGACCAGGCAGCAGACCAUUUUAUUGGACUAGAUUUAUCACUCCAGAGAAGGACAAAUAUGUGUCAUCUACCCCCCCUGUUUUGUCCUCGGGCAAGUGUCAAGUGGGCUGGAGCUUGGUUUGGAGCUCGCUGUGCCUCCCCCGGGCAGCCCCGGGCCUCGUUCCGUAGGCCAACGUUCUGGAACGCUGCAGAUGGAAGUUAAUACCAUGAAUAGAGCAGACAUGAUUCCUUAUUCUGCAAGUCAAUAGAGGCAUGUUUGUUCUAUGCAACGUGGACCGUAACCUAGGCUCGGCCGCGUGGUGCUUCCCUUCAAGCAGUCCUGGAGUGUGUCUCGUUGUGCCGAGCCAUGUGGCUCUGUUCACCUUUCACACGUGUGCCACAUGUUGGUUUUUUUGCCAUACCAACCCACCCCCUUCUCUCCUGUGAGCGUGAUCGAGCUGUAGCAGUCAAACACCUUGGCGAGAUGGAGAGAGAGAGAAGGGGGAGGGAGAGCUACUGUAGCAGCAAAUCCAUUCACAUCCGAGCGCGCCACAAGCGGGGGAGCUCUGACAGUAACACUUGUCAACAACAGGGAAGUGGCCCGUCUGUCUCACUGUUACGGAACAGCUCUAGAACUAACUGCUCCUCAUCCUCCAGUCCAGCCUGACCAGUUGUCUUCCUCCUGCAAUGGGGAAUCGCACCAUGAAGAAGGUGGCGCUGCUACUGGUGAGCAUGUGUGGAGUUGUUACUGCUGUGUGUGUGUGUGUGUGUGUGUGUUUCUCUAGGUUGGUUUUCUCGAGACGGCUGGUUGUGCUUGGCUUAUACACAGCUAACAUUGUCCUGAAAUACUUUGACCUAACUGUCGAUCUCGAUUGUGUGUGGUGGGUACCGGCGCGCCAGCUGACACUGAUGUCUUACGAGGCUAGGAGCAGCGGCCUCACAGGACCGCUAACGGCUGCAGUCUCUUCAUCCUGGAAGGUUACACAUUUCAAUAUCAGUGAUGUAAUGGUCUGUAACGGAGUGACCUGCUGUCUGAAGUAUUUGUAUAUUGAUGUGGAGAUGUUGUGGUCGGCUAUGUUUCUCUUCUCAUGCAAUUAUCUCCACAAGUGUCAAGCGUUUUCAAUUUGCUUCGUGUGUGUCGGACUGUCUGGUGUUGCUGCCUGUGCUGACUUUGCGACAAGACACAAGUUCAACUGCUGCCGGACCUCGAGGAAAGCUAACGUCCAGCUGGGGAUUCAGAUUGCUCUGCAAUUGACCUUGAUUCAGUUUCAUCUCUUAAUAGAGUACUUGUUAUUUCUCGUUAUGCGUUACAGUUGGAGACUUUCUUAGAACACGUAAACUCCAACAUGUGUUUUUAGACAGUCCGUCUUUAUGAAGAGGGAGGUUGGGAGAAAUAGAACUGGAGAACAGCACAUCUGCUCUGAAUUCCCCCAUAGUGGCCAGCCCAGAAGCUCUGGUCAGGGCUAAGUUCAACCCACCACAUGCUCCCUACUUCCAUCCUCCUUAGUUAUUGUUUUGAAAGAAAAGACAUCUCUUCACGGGUGAAGGAGACUAAACGCAAAGACCCAGAAUUCCCACGGACCCACGACUGGCCGUGAGCUAUUGACUUCUGUCACAGCACGACCCCAAAGUCAUGCCCCCCCCC